rnacentral:misc_RNA from 1 species
GUUGCAGUAAAUGCCUAGUACUAUCAUUUAUUCAUAUUUGCAACAUAGAUGAUUCUAUGCACACCAUUUGACCACAUUUUAGGCUGAAAUUUUUGAGUAACAUACAGUAGGUUAAAGGCUAGAGGAGUUCCAGCUAGCAUCUACAGCCCCGAUGAUCGUUUCGUGCAGUUUGGCUCCAGCGCAAGCAAUUAUACCGCGAUCAAGUCCUUCUAAGUAUUCGCCUUUUGAGAAGUCUAGUGGUUGCCCUCCUGCAUCGGUCACCACUCCACCGGCUUCUUCAAUGAUAAGAACACCAGCUGCAUGAUCCCAUAUUUUCUCCUUGUAACCAGCCCUAGCGAACUUCAUGUAUAUCUCAGCAUCUCCUCGAGCUAUGGCUGCAUACUUUACCAUGCUGUAUACACGUAACGGCUGGUUCCGAAGUCCAACACUAUGAGCCAGUCCUGCUGUGAAUGAAUGGCUUGAAUUUGCCUUCUCAACUGGUUCACAAAAGGUAGCUAGUGCUGGGUUAUCGAUGGAGGAUACUCUAAUUUCCCUUGCAGCGUUUGGCCACACAAACUUACUUUCUCCGCGCAGUAACGGUUGCAUCCAGGCCCUGCCGCCACCUUUCCUUGCAUAAAGUACAGAACCUCUAUCCGAAGAUUCAGAUGUAGAGGAGCUCAACCUAGAUAAGAUUCUCCUAUAACCAUUUUGAUAACUAAGCCAUUCCUUCUUCAUAGGAUAAUUUGGACAUCCGAGAACCCCAAGCACAGGUUCUCCGUCUUCUAUCAAUGCCAAAGCAAUGGCAUAUUGAUCUCCACGCACGAAA